GACGGUUUGGCCGAGUUCUGGUCCGAAAAGGCGUGGGUUCAAAUCCCACAGCCGUCA
rnacentral:tRNA from 1 species